rnacentral:rRNA from 1 species
UACGUAGGGGGGCAAGCGUUGUCCGGAUUCAUUGGGCGUAAAGAGCGUGUAGGCGGCCAGGUAGGUCGGUUGUGAAAACUGGAGCUCAACCUUCAGAGGUCGACCGAAACCAUCUGGCUAGAGUCCGGGAGAGGAGAGUGGAAUUCCUGGUGUAGCGGUGAAAAUGCGCAGAUAUCAGGAAGAACACCCGUGGCGAAAGCGGCUCUCUGGAACGGUACUGACGCUGAGACGCGAAAGCGUGGGGAGCAAACAGGG